UAAGAUCCGCCACUGGUUACUCGUGUAUAUUUCACACAACAUAAGUUCGAUUGAAAUGAUUUUCCAAAUUUUGCGAUAGAUACAUUCGAUAUGAAAUAAAUAAGCAGGCAGUCUAUUAUAUCACAUGUAAUGAAAUUAAAUCGUUCUUCAUGUGGACUUUAGCGAAACAAAAGUUUUACAGAACAAAUUUAAAAACACAAGAGACACCUAGUAUAAUAUAUAGGUACGUAGAAAAAUUGCAUUUUGCGAAUAUAAGUCGCUAACCGGUGUAAAUGCGAACUUGGACAGCCAUAAUUAGGAUGGUAAAAACACCAAAGAAGAGUAGAGUGUGAAUGAUCACAGAUUUGCCGUUUGUGGUGAAGCUCCCGAAUUCAACGGGUCGGGUAUUGCCCGGCAUCUGAAACAGUACUCCCGGAGACAUCAAAACGAAUAGGAUCAGCCCUAUUACUAUUGGGGCCCAAUCCAACAUUAUUAUUUUUUACUGAGUUUAAUUUUCCUCGAGUUUUUCUAGCUACG
rnacentral:lncRNA from 1 species